UGAGGAAUUUUGCGCAAUGGGGGAAACCCUGACGCAGCGACGCCGCGUGGAGGACGAAGGCCUUCGGGUCGUAAACUCCUGUCAAGCGGGACGAAAGCCGAGAGGAUGAAUAAGCCUUUCGGUUGACGGUACCGCUGGAGGAAGCCCCGGCUAACUCCGUGCCAGCAGCCGCGGUAAUACGGAGGGGGCCAGCGUUGUUCGGAAUUAUUGGGCGUAAAGGGCGCGUAGGCGGCCUGGUAAGUCAGACGUGAAAUCCCACGGCUCAACCGUGGAACUGCGUUUGAUACUGCCGGGCUUGAGUCCCGGAGAGGGUAGCGGAAUUCCCAGUGUAGCGGUGAAAUGCGUAGAUAUUGGGAGGAACACCAGUGGCGAAGGCGGCUACCUGGACGGGUACUGACGCUGAGGCGCGAAAGCGUGGGGAGCAAACAGGAUUAGAUACCCCCGUAGUCC
rnacentral:rRNA from 1 species